UACGGGGGGAGCAAGCGUUGUUCGGAUUUACUGGGCGUAAAGGGCUCGUAGGCGGUCUGUCGCGUCGGAUGUGAAAACCCAGGGCUCAACCCUGGGCCUGCAUUCGAUACGGGCAGACUAGAGUUCGGUAGGGGAGACUGGAAUUCCUGGUGUAGCGGUGAAAUGCGCAGAUAUCAGGAGGAACACCGGUGGCGAAGGCGGGUCUCUGGGCCGAAACUGACGCUGAGGAGCGAAAGCGUGGGGAGCAAACAGG
rnacentral:rRNA from 1 species